CCUGCAGCAGGUGGGUCGUACAGAGAAUGGUAAAGAGCCCUUGUUAAAAUUCCACACCAAACUAAGGAAGAGCUUCCCUUGAUUCCUAUCAUAGGUGUGUUGCUGGAAAACCCACUGAGUAAGAGCUAUGCCGAGGAAGGAUUUGGGCUUGUAUACAAAAUGGAGUAAGGGCUACACUCAGAAGAUUAGAGAUGCUUUUCCUGGUUCUUUAUCAUGACAAAUUGCAAACACAUACCAGAGUCAAAAGAGUAGCUAAAAGAAUACUGGAGCAUAUCUUCCACAAAAUUGAACCCAUUUCCCCCCCCCCCGCCCCCAGAAUCAUUUGAAAGUGCUUACAGAUUUCACAACCUAUUUCAAUAUGCAGCUUCUAAGAAUAAUGAAAUCCCUACGUAUUCAUAAUAUCAUUGUCACAUCCAAAAAAGCCAGACACGAUUUGGUAAGAUCACUUAAUAUCUACUCCACAUACAAGUUUUCCCACUUGAUUUGAGAAUGACGUUCAUAGCUGUGAUCUUUCAAAAAAUCAGCAUCCCAUCACUAUUCGCCUAUUAGUUUAUUAUGUUUUAAUAUAGAACUAUCCCUCUACCUUUCUUCCUCAGAACAUUAGUAUUGUUUGGAAAAGCUGAGGCCAGUACUCUUGCACAAUGCCACACAUCUAACUCCUCAGUCUUUGAAUGCAACUUUGCUUUUCCCUCCUGGUAACUGGAGUCAGCCAGGUAUCCAAGCAUCCCUAACCCCAUAGAGCUAAGGCUGUGUGUGCUUUCUGUAACUAAGUUCAUGUGCUAUUUGCAAUGCAAAUGAACCGUUACAAGGAUUUCCUCUUAAUUGAAUUUAUUCCUAUUUAUAUCUCUUUUCUUAUGCUCAAACUUUGGUUCCUGAUAACAUUAAUGUAAUCACUCAUUUGCUUUCUCCCCCAAAGUAUACAAAUAUUUUAAAACACAAUACCAAUAGUAUUACAAACCACAAACCUUCCAAAUCAAGUCAAAAAGUUCUUCAUGGUAAAUUUUGCCUUUGGAUUUAUCCCCCUAAAAAUAAACUGUCAGGGACUGUGUUCAAAGGUUAGUGGAAAAAAUUCUCCUCUCUUUGCCAUUACAUUAGCUUCUGGUAUAUAGUUAACUUCUUGUGUUUUUGUUUGUAUUCAGUUUUAAUUUUUUUUUUGUUUUGAAUUAAUUUUUGAAAUAGGUAAAACACAAACCUGCUUUCAGUCAUGAAACUACUUAAAGUGAUCCUCAGGAAGACUUGCCCCAUUCUACCUGUACCCUGCCCCCCAUUUUCCUCGCUCAAAUGCCCGUAGUGAUGAUUUCACUUCCAGCUUGUCCUACCAGUGUUUCUUUUUCUUUCUUUGUUUAAAAGUCAGCACACUUGGGCUGGGGUUGUGACUCAGCGGUGGAAUGCUCCCCUAGCACGUGGGAGGCGCUGGGUUCGAUCCUCAGCAUCACGUAAAAAUAAAUCAAUAAAUUAAAAAUAAAGGUACAGUGUCCAACCACAACUUAAAAAAAAAAAAAAAAAACCAAACCGCAUACUUCAUGCUGUAGGUGUUAUAGACAUCUUGAAGCCAUUCCAUGUAGAAUCUCCUAAUCCUUUUAAAAUGGCUCCAUCAUACUAUCAUCUGUAGCUAGAUGUCCUCUAGCUUAUUCAACCAGCUUCAAACAUCUACAGUUUUAAAUAUUGCUAACUCUUCCUCCAGAGAAGGUUACCAUUUUGCCUUCCCAGCAGGAGGGUGUCAUAGAAAGUGUCAUGGAGACUUACACAAAUGUCCAGCGUUAUAUUUUAAAAGCAGCAUUCAAGGCAAUUCCUCUUUGCCUGGGACAGUUGACAUCCUGUGCACUGUCCACCCGGAGGCUGCUGGGCCUUCCUGGGCUCUGCCUGCUAACUGCCGGGAGCCUCCUCACAUGGUGACAGCAUAAAUUCCCCAAAUGCCACAUUGAGAAGCUUUGCUCCAGACACUCUAAGAGUAAUCCUUGGGACAGAGAAAGUCCCUUGGGUACCUGUCCGUCUGGCCCACGUGGGUUUUUGCUUUCUGUAUAAUUGCUUGGCUGAAUGGCACUGGGUGUUGUUCUGUUUGCCCACAGGAAGGACUGAGGGGACCUGAAGUGGCUGUGGGAAGCUGCUCAUUAGAACUCCUCCAGGAAUGCUGGUGCCUGCGACACCCCACGGGGCUCUUUCCUGGGAUGCUCUGUACCACCAGGAGUUUUGCCUCCCUUGCCCUUGUCCUCAGAACACAAGGCAUCAUGAACUUGAUCUUGCUCUCCGUUGUACCAGAUGUUACAGUGUGACCAGGCAAAUCUGUGCUGUUUCUGGCUUGUGCAUACAUUUUUAUGAUUUGCUCUAUAUGAACAGACCUCGGCUAUGGAUAUAUCCUUUUUACCUCUAUUCCUAAGCUUUUUGGGGUCAUUUUCCUGAUUUACCUUUUUUCUUCUUUUAAAUCAGUGGAAUCAUAUAAUUUUCUAAGUUGCUUUAAAUAGAUGAAAAUUCAGCCCCAAUCUCACAGGAUUGUGAGGAGUGUGUGUAGGGCACCUAGUCAUGCCCAGGCCAAGAGGAGGAGCAUGUUAGGCCACCGCCCCUGCAUCCUGCGCUCCUCUCUCAGCCACAUGCCCUGCCCCCAGCACAGCUCACUCUCUAUUUGACCUGCCAUCCACAACGCAGGACUGCAAUGUCCCUGUGCUGUAGGCUGGACACUGAGGAAUUAGCAGGAAGCAGGUUUAUUGGCUGCAGCCAGGUCCAGAGGGACCUUUUGCCUAAAUCAAUUCUCCCCUCUGAACCCCGAGUUCAGAAAGUUUUAGAACUUUACACCCAGUGUGUAGGGGGAGGGGCUCAGAGGCUCACAAUCUUCAGAAAUCCACAUAAAAGUAGGGUUUUUUUUCCCCCUGUUCUGGGCAAUCAACCCAGGCCUGGAUACAAAAAUAAAUCAAGGACACUCUCUGCAAAAAUCAGUGCCUAGGAAAGGGAGAAGUCCCCUCCCUUUCCCCUCAACUGGUUUCCAAGGAACCUAAUUUGUACCACUUACUCUUAUCUUUUGGACUGUAAAGGACUUUCCCUAGGAUCUAACUACUGUCCUUUGAAAUGUAAACGCCCCUGUAAAGGCUCUGGGCUCCCUUAUCACAUUCUGCUUCUGUAAACACACUUCCUGCCAGAAAACUUUUUUUUUUUUUGCAGAAAUUCUUGCUGAUAGUCUAAGAACAGUUAUGGUGAGGGUAUCUGGAGAAGCUUAAUUAAGAUUUUUUUCUGUGGAGGAGGUGGUGCCACUACACCUGGGCUUUCUCAGUCCUGUGUUUCUGUAUAGCAUGGCCCGCACAGAAUGUUUCUUCCAGUGCCAAGGUCAGCUUUUUCUCCAUUGAGAUGUUCUUGUAUCUGAAAACACUUGAACACGAGCCUAUUAGUCAGGCUUCUCCCAUGGAUGUGUUCCUGUUUACUAACCGGAAGCCUGCAAACUCAGACCCUGUGGGUUUUAUGGAAGCUUACUAUAUAGGUACGGUUGACUAAAUCUCUCCAUCAGUGAGCAACUCAACCUCAGCCCCAGAAGUCAGAGGCAGGACUGAAAGUUAUAAUCCCUUAGUCACAUAGUUGGUUCUCUCCUCUGGACACCAGCCCCCAUCUGGAGGCUCUCGCACCAGUCAUCUCAUUAGUAUACAAAGGAUUGAAAAACCAGCCUCUAUCUCAGAGCAAAGCCUGUCCAAGGAAGGGACAUGACCUUUGUCCUUGGAAAGACCCACAGAGUGCUCCUAGGCACAUUCCCACCCUGCUAAGUGGUUUAUCUACAAAUAACAGGAGAGAUCUGCUGCGCCAGGUGUCCCUGACUCAGUCAGGCUAGGUGAGGACCCAUAACAACCCCCUAGCAGCCACCAAUCAGCAUGAGACAGGGAAAUACCUGGGAUGCCAGAUGACCCUCCCAGUAGUUUAUGGUGGUUGAUAACAUGUUGGGAAACCAUGUAGCUCAGCACGAACACCCCUCUUGGCUUAAACCAAUCAGUUCAAAUGAAUACCCCUUUUGUAUUGACCAAUCACCCUUACCCAACUUGUUCUCACCAGUGAAUGUGCUAAUCAUGUUUUAGAGUUGUUAUUUGAUUUUCCCGCGGUAUGUGAUGAUUUGCUAAGAGAUGCUAUGAUGUAUGUGGGGGUCCCUGCCUUCUCCAAAGAGUGUAUAAAACUGCUGCAAACCCUGGGCUCGGGGCCUCUCAGCAUCACCAGUUGCUAUAUGUGCGCGCAGAGGACGGAGCUAGCUCGCAAUAAAC
rnacentral:lncRNA from 1 species